GACGAACGCUGGCGGCGUGCUUAACACAUGCAAGUCGAGCGAUGAAGCUUCUUCGGAAGUGGAUUAGCGGCGGACGGGUGAGUAACACGUGGGUAACCUGCCUCAUAGAGGGGAAUAGCCUUCCGAAAGGAAGAUUAAUACCGCAUAAGAUUGUAAUAUCGCAUGAUAUAGCAAUUAGAUGAGUAAUCCGCUAUGAGAUGGACCCGCGUCGCAUUAGCUAGUUGGUGAGGUAACGGCUCACCAAGGCGACGAUGCGUAGCCGACCUGAGAGGGUGAUCGGCCACAUUGGGACUGAGACACGGCCCAGACUCCUACGGGAGGCAGCAGUGGGGAAUAUUGCACAAUGGGGGAAACCCUGAUGUAGCAACGCCGCGUGAGUGAUGACGGUCUUCGGAUUGUAAAGCUCUGUCUUUAGGGACGAUAAUGACGGUACCUAAGGAGGAAGCCACGGCUAACUACGUGCCAGCAGCCGCCGUAAAAC
rnacentral:rRNA from 1 species